GAAGCAUGGACAUACUCAUAAUUUUGUUGUGUCUGUCGUCUUUCGAAACAAAAGAGUUACAAGACGAUUUUGAAACCGACGACGAAAUGCCUGCAGUCGGUCCCCCAGAAGACAUUGAAUUUCCUAGACCAGUUGAUUUUUUAAAUAUUAAACGGGACGGUUUUGGGGACGUUGAAUUUAAACAACCGAUCAAUUAUGUAGAGCUUGAUAUGAUUAGACCAAGAAAUAGGGAACACGCAAAAGAAUUACUUAAAAAAGCGAAGAAAAAUAAAAUAUUGUGGAUUCCUAAGAGUGAGAUUAUGGUAUUUAACAGUCCUCGUGAUGAAUUUUUGUAUUAUAAGAGGCUAUAUGAUACUGUCAAAAAUGCAACGAGUGUUGGUACAAAGUAUAUACCUGAUUUCUCAAAGAAUUUAGAAAGAAACUUAGCACAUCCGUUAAUCAACCCGGGAACAUCAAGUGACACAAAGCUAAGACCAACUGAAAGAAACGACAGGCAAUAUAUCCCUAGAAAUAAUAUCUCUGAUUAUUUCGCAGAAAACUCUUUUUACAUAAAAACUGAUUAUUAUCAAAAUAUAAAUUGGACAACUUGCGACGAAUUUUCUAAAAAAGCCCUUUUCCAUCCGGACGACAUCGUCGAUACAAAAUGGAUACCAUUUUACAUUUGGUCAAAGCGAAAUUUUUCAAUAGCCGUUAUACACACUUUUACAUAUCCAACGAAGAAGCGAGUAAAUUACUAUAGAACAAAUUUUGGACCUUAUAUCAAAAACAUAGACUGGUCUCAGCCUAAAUUACUCUUAAAGGGAAAUAGAGAAACUCUUUUGAUCGCUGGCGACAGGAAAGGACUGUUUUAUGAAAUUCCAGAUCAAGAACCUCCAAAGCCUGAACAAGGUAAAGUAAUAUUACCUACGUUGAGCUUACGGAUAAAGAUAAUUAAUCCAUACAUAGCACUGAUGUAUUGUGAAGAGUUCUAUGCAACCAUAAUGGCUGAACUGGGAACGGAACCACAGGAAACUGAAGAAAAAAUUAGUAAGGCAACCAAAUUACGUUUUAGCGGUAUUGGAAUUCCGGCUGAAAGGGAUAUUGAAAAUGAAAAGAAACUAGAAGAUCUUAAAAUUUCCAACGAACAAAGGAGAGCUGAUGAUAAAGUUGGAUAAGAAGUUAGAUAUUAGCUGUAAUAAAAAAUUCAAAUAUCUGUAAAGCUGUACUUCAAUAGUUCUACAAUAAUUUUCAAACGACAUUCAGUUCAGACGAUUGGUUUGUAAACACUUAUAGUGAACGUCAAUAUUACGACUAAAAUAUGUUUAAAAAUGUAAAACAUCCUUUCUGACGGAUAUAUUAACUGUGAGACAGCGAACAUGGAACAGAACUACUGUAACAAUGUUAAAUUUUAAUAUCAUAUCGGGAUUAUUUGUGACUGUGGUCAUAUUAGCGGUAGGGAUGGUACAAAACGGUUCAUUCCCGACUAUGGAUACAUCUGAGACGACUACAUGUGAGGAAUUCAGCCGCUUCGCCAGAUUUAAUCCAUACUCCGUUCUGGAUGACGAGUGGAUGGUUUUUUAUUAUUGGGGACCCUCCCAAAGCCCCAUGUUCGUCAGAUUUUUCAUACCAACUAAAAAGGUUUAUAAUACAUUUUUAACUUGUUCACUUAUGAGUGUAUAUAGACAUAUAUUAUCAUCGUAAAAUAAUUAAUUAAAUAUGUUGGUGAGCAAAAAAAAAAUAUCACAAAACAUGUGAUUCUUUAUUAUUUUACUGUCAUUUAUAGUAUUUCAUGUGUAAGAUUUUUGGAUAAUGUUGUUGGUUAGUUAUUUUUUUAUCAUUACUCUGUUAUUUAAGUAAAUAAAAAGUUUUAUCAUUAUUUUUCUAAUAAGCAUAUAGCUUAUAUGAGGUAUGAAAUGGAGCAUCAUUUAGUAGCGCCAAUUAAUUGGACAGCAAGAGGUGUGUUCAUGAAAGAGAGGACUAACAUGACCUAUUACUUAGAAGAGGUCUCAGACAGAGGACAUUAUAAAUUGUACGAACUCUUCAGAGACAUAAAAGAAAACGUUGUACUCACACCCGUCGACGUAAGAUUUAAACAAACCAGUGACACUCGGUAUUUCGCUGUCAUGAACUGUGCGGAUGAUGUUGUGUUCCUGUUCUCAAGAGUCGCACACGUGCCUAAGAAGAAAGAGAUCCCGGAGGUGGUUUCCAUCUUUGGGUACCGAGGUCGUGGGGGCAGGUCGUAUCUGUACCAGGGACACCACUGGAUGCCUAUUGAUGAAGCUGAUGAUGCGGACUAUGAAGACGCCUUGAAACGAAAUUAUUGACGUUCUUAAUCGAUAAAAUAUAUUCCAUUUUAUAUCGGUAUAUAAAUAUAAUAAAACUUUUAAAAUCGAAGCAGAGUUACAAAUAAUAUUGACCUACAUGCGUGCAGGUUUAUCUACGAAUAAAAUAAAUCAAAAUAUGAUCCUUGAUUGUAAAUUUAAAUGUUUAUAAUUAAAUGUAGAAAUUGUUAUUUUUCUUUAAAUUGUUAUAUAAUAGGAACUUCUUUUAUUAUUA